rfam:Lupinus angustifolius cultivar Tanjil contig_13860, whole genome shotgun sequence.
AGGGGUAUAACUCAGCGGUAGAGUGUCACCUUGACACGGUGUAAGUCAUCAGUUCGAGCCUGAUUACCCCUA